CGGGGGAAGCGGCUGGCAGUGUAGGCGGCUGGGGCACAGUAUCUGAAGAUGGACACCUCGUGGGACAUGCUGAUGGAGAACCUCCCGCAAAAGAAACAGGAGAUGCUGGCAGGACAUGAGGGAAUGCAGGGGUCCACAAACCCAAAGGAAGCGUACAUGAGGACCAGCUGUUCCAGGCGCAGAGUCAGCUGCUGGGAGAUCUCUAACAGCUGCAUACAAGAGGGGCCACAGUGAGAUCAGCUGGCCUAAGAGGAGCGGGCCUCCCCCUCCACCAUCCACCAUCCCCCCAGGCUUGGAGCUUUGAGAGGCAAGGGGUGUGGGGUCUAAGAAACCCCCACACACCCCCUUUCGGACCAGCUCCUGCAGGACUCCAUAGAUGGGGGGUACACUUCUCGAGGCUGCCUCCAGAUACAGGAAGUAGGGUUCACACAUCUGUAAGAAUGUGGGCAUGGCCUUGGCCAGCUGCUCCUUCUGUACUUGAUCUCUGCUGAAGGAAGAAGGGAGCCUUUGCCUGUAAUCCCUCACGACCCCUCCCCGCCACCCAGUUUUCCCCAUUCUACUCACCCCCAACCUGUAUCCCUUGGCUAGACCCCUGUUAGAAAAGGCCCCCAGUUUUAGAUCUUUUCUGAACAUCUUUCUGGUUCACCCGCAUCACACCCAUUUAGAACACUUGUUAAAGAGCUGACACCUGAGUCUCACAACUCUACUUAGGACCCAGAGCUUCCUGCAGUGGCUCAUGCCUGCAAUACGAGAGUUUUGGGAGGCUAAGGCUGAAGGAUUGCUUGAGGCCAGGAGUUCCUGACCAGCCUGGGCAACAUCGCAAGACCCCAUCUCUACACAAAAAAACAAUUAGCUGAGCAUGGUGUCACCUAUAGUCCCAGCUACUUAGGAGGUGGAGGCAGGAGGAUUGCCUCCAGGAGUUUGAGGCUGCGUAAGCUAUGGCUACACUAUUGCACUCCAGCUUGGGCGACAGAGCGAGACCCUGUCUCAUUAAAAAACCAGCCUCAUGAGAAUCGCUUGAACCCGGGAGGCAGAAGUUGCAGUGAGCCGAGAUCGCGCCACUGCACUCCAGCCUGGGUGACCGACCGAGACUGUCUUAAAUCCAAAACAAAACCCAAGCCUCGUGGAUCAUGAGGUCAGGAGUUCAAGACCAGCCUGGCCAAGAUGGUGAAACCCCAUCUCUACUAAAAAUACAGAAAUUAGCCAGGCGUGGUGGUGGGCGCCUGUAAUCCCAGCUACUCGGAAGGCUGAGGCAGAUAAUUGAUUGAACCCUGGAGGCGGAGGUUGCAGUGAGCCGAGAUCCUGCUACUGCACUCCAGCCUGGGCGACAGAGCGAGUUCUGUCUCAAAAAGAAAAACAAAAAACCACCACCAGCAACAAAACCCAGCCUCCUAGGAGAUUCCAAUGGACACUGAAAUUGGAGAGCCACAGGGAAAGCUGGUCUGCGAAUCACAUUAUCCUUUGGGGUCUCAAACUGACGUCCUACUGGCCAAGUGUGGCUCAGGGCUGGAAACUCACCUGUUCUUGGAAAGCUGUCGCCUGCUCAGGGAAGCCUGCCUCAGUAAAAUAUUCCACAACAUCCAUCACUGUCCACUCCACGGGAUCAGACGGCUUCUCUUUGCGC